rnacentral:misc_RNA from 1 species
UGUGGGAGCUGGCUUGCCUGCGAUGACGUCGUGUCAGCCAGGCACCUGCUGACUGACCCACCGCUAUCGCAGGCAAGCCAGCUCCCACA